GAUGAACGCUGGCGGCGUGCCUAAUACAUGCAAGUCGAGCGAAUGGAUUAAGAGCUUGCUCUUAUGGAGUUAGCGGCGGACGGGUGAGUAACACGUGGGUAACCUGCCCAUAAGACUGGGAUAACUCCGGGAAACCGGGGCUAAUACCGGAUAACAUUUUGAACCGCAUGGUUCGAAAUUGAAAGGCGGCUUCGGCUGUCACUUAUGGAUGGACCCGCGUCGCAUUAGCUAGUUGGUGAGGUAACGGCUCACCAAGGCAACGAUGCGUAGCCGACCGGGGAGGGUGAUCGGCCACACUGGGACUGAGACACGGCCCAGACUCCUACGGGGGGCAGCAGUAGGGAAUCGUCCGCAAUGGACGAAAGUCUGACGGAGCAACGCCGCGUGAGUGAUGAAGGCUUUCGGGUCGUAAAACUCUGUUGUUAGGGGAGAACAAGUGCUAGUUGAAUAAGCUGGCACCUUGACGGUACCUAACCAGAAAGCCACGGCUAACUACGUGCCAGCCGCCGCGGUAA
rnacentral:rRNA from 1 species